rnacentral:rRNA from 1 species
UACGGAGGGUGCGAGCGUUGUCCGGAAUCACUGGGCGUAAAGGGCGCGUAGGCGGCCGGAGAAGUCGGUGGUGAAAGCUCGGGGCUCAACUCCGAGUCGGCCACCGAUACUGUUCGGCUCGAGUUUGGUAGAGGCAGAUGGAAUUCCUGGUGUAGCGGUGAAAUGCGCAGAUAUCAGGAAGAACACCCGUGGCGAAAGCGGCUCUCUGGAACGGUACUGACGCUGAGACGCGAAAGCGUGGGGAGCGAACAGG